ACUCCUACGGGAGGCAGCAGUGGGGAAUAUUGGACAAUGGGGAACCGUAGCAUCAGCCAUGCCGCGCUGUGUGAAGAAGGCCUUCGGGUUGUAAAGCACUUUCAGUGGGGAGGAAAGGAUUGAUGGUUAAUACCUAUCAGCUGUGACGUUACCCACAGAAGAAGCACCGGCUAACUCCGUGCCAGCAGCCGCGGUAAUACGGAGGGUGCAAGCGUUAAUCGGAAUUACUGGGCGUAAAGCGUGCGCAGGCGGUCUGUUAAGCGAGAUGUGAAAGCCCCGGCUGC
rnacentral:rRNA from 1 species